rnacentral:rRNA from 1 species
GGGCGGUGCUAUACUGCAGUCGAGCGGACAGAUGGGAGCUUGCUCCCUGAUGUUAGCGGCGGACGGGUGAGUAACACGUGGGUAACCUGCCUGUAAGACUGGGAUAACUCCGGGAAACCGGGGCUAAUACCGGAUGCUUGUUUGAACCGCAUGGUUCAGACAUAAAAGGUGGCUUCGGCUACCACUUACAGAUGGACCCGCGGCGCAUUAGCUAGUUGGUGAGGUAACGGCUCACCAAGGCGACGAUGCGUAGCCGACCUGAGAGGGUGAUCGGCCACACUGGGACUGAGACACGGCCAAAACUCAUACGGGAGGCAGCAGUAGGGAAUCUUCCGCAAUGGACGAAAGUCUGACGGAGCAACGCCGCGUGAGUGAUGAAGGUUUUCGGAUCGUAAAGCUCUGUUGUUAGGGAAGAACAAGUGCCGUUCAAAUAGGGCGGCACCUUGACGGUACCUAACCAGAAAGCCACGGCUAACUACGUGCCAGCAGCCGCGGUAAUACGUAGGUGGCAAGCGUUGUCCGGAAUUAUUGGGCGUAAAGGGCUCGCAGGCGGUUUCUUAAGUCUGAUGUGAAAGCCCCCGGCUCAACCGGGGAGGGUCAUUGGAAACUGGGGAACUUGAGUGCAGAAGAGGAGAGUGGAAUUCCACGUGUAGCGGUGAAAUGCGUAGAGAUGUGGAGGAACACCAGUGGCGAAGGCGACUCUCUGGUCUGUAACUGACGCUGAGGAGCGAAAGCGUGGGGAGCGAACAGGAUUAGAUACCCUGGUAGUCCACGCCGUAAACGAUGAGUGCUAAGUGUUAGGGGGUUUCCGCCCCUUAGUGCUGCAGCUAACGCAUUAAGCACUCCGCCUGGGGAGUACGGUCGCAAGACUGAAACUCAAAGGAAUUGACGGGGGCCCGCACAAGCGGUGGAGCAUGUGGUUUAAUUCGAAGCAACGCGAAGAACCUUACCAGGUCUUGACAUCCUCUGACAAUCCUAGAGAUAGGACGUCCCCUUCGGGGGCAGAGUGACAGGUGGUGCAUGGUUGUCGUCAGCUCGUGUCGUGAGAUGUUGGGUUAAGUCCCGCAACGAGCGCAACCCUUGAUCUUAGUUGCCAGCAUUCAGUUGGGCACUCUAAGGUGACUGCCGGUGACAAACCGGAGGAAGGUGGGGAUGACGUCAAAUCAUCAUGCCCCUUAUGACCUGGGCUACACACGUGCUACAAUGGGCAGAACAAAGGGCAGCGAAACCGCGAGGUUAAGCCAAUCCCACAAAUCUGUUCUCAGUUCGGAUCGCAGUCUGCAACUCGACUGCGUGAAGCUGGAAUCGCUAGUAAUCGCGGAUCAGCAUGCCGCGGUGAAUACGUUCCCGGGCCUUGUACACACCGCCCGUCACACCACGAGAGUUUGUAACACCCGAAGU